rnacentral:tRNA from 1 species
AGGGGUAUAGCUCAGUGGUAGAGUGGGUGCUUGGUGUGCAGAAGGUCCUGGGUUCAAUCCCCAGUGCCUCCA